UACGUAGGGAGCGAGCGUUAUCCGGAAUUAUUGGGUGUAAAGGGUGCGUAGACGGGAAGACAAGUUGGUUGUGAAAUCCCUCGGCUUAACUGAGGAACUGCAACCAAAACUAUCAUUCUUGAGUACUGGAGAGGAAAGUGGAAUUCCUAGUGUAGCGGUGAAAUGCGUAGAUAUUAGGAGGAACACCGGUGGCGAAGGCGGCUUACUGGACGACAACUGACGCUGAGGCUCGAAAGCGUGGGGAGCAAACAGG
rnacentral:rRNA from 1 species